rnacentral:lncRNA from 1 species
GAAAAGGUAAGUUCGAAGAUGCACAUCCGAAUGUAAUGUAUAUUUUUUCAGCUCAAGAAUAAGAUUAAUGCAAGCAAUUCAAGCAACGAGGGAUGAAAUUAUUGAACUUUACCUUAAAUUGCAGCUUCUUCCGCUCUCUUUAGUGUGGAAAAACACAAGAAUGAUGAUUUGGAGUUGAAAUGUUGACUGGGAAUGUUUUUUUUAAGGGUUUUGGAUUAUAGAGGU